CUACAGUGCUCAGAACAGAGGGCAAUUUCUACCUAGAGGAUGGUGGACCUGUUGUGAUCUGAGGAAGCAGGACUUUGGAGGACUGCAGUGAAACAAGCAACUGAAAACAUCCAGUAAUGCCUUGAAAUGCUACAGAGCUCUUGGAAACCAGAAGGGUGGCACCUGGCUGCCGGAGCGUGUCUUGUGUGGACUUGGAGAAGAGAAGUCUGCUGAAAUGUCUGCGGGUUAUAAGACCAGCAAAGGGACAGUGUGAGCCCACUCACGCACCAGGUUCCUGCCAAGCCCUGGCCCUGUGCUCUUCUGCCCACCCAGGGAUCAACAUCAGCGGCAAACGCCUGACCAAGAUGGUGCCAGG